UGCGGAGGGGGCGGGGGUGGAGGCGCCAUCUUGGACUCGGCUCGACCCCGUCUGGUGACCGGCGACGCUGGGCCAGGCUCGGCGCAGGGGGUCGGGAAGCACAAAGAAGUUAAGUACUUGACCAAGUCACAUCAAGGUAUGAGCCCAGGUAGUCUUGCUUCAGAGCCUACGUUCUUAUCCAUGCCCAUUGCCAGCCGCAUGCUCGUUCAUUUAUCAGAGCAAGUGAGGAACUCAGCAGAGUCAGGCGAAAGAAGGAGGGUACUAUUAAUAUUUGGUGCCCAUUCUGUUGCUGUGCCUGUUUCGGCUUAGAUGCCACUGGAGAAGACCACUCCAGUAGUCUUUCCUGGAGGAUCCCAUGGACAGAGGAGCCUGGUGGGCUAUAGUCCAUUAGUUGCAAAGAGUCGGCCAUGACUGAAGCAACUUAGCACGCAUGCACGAAUGCCACACUCAAUCUUGAUUACCAUAGCUUUAUUAUGGGGAAAAUGAAGUUCGAAGCAGGCUGUCCUGACUACAAGAUGCCGUAUUGUUUCUGAGAUGCCACCGUGGUGGCUGCCUCUUGGCUCAGGGCCAGCUCACUCUGGGAGUAGAGAUGAGUUCCUGGGUUCCACAACACUCGACACCAUGCCAGAAGUCGUGUGUGCUCUGCAAAUAGCUCUUGGUGGGUCCCUGAUUUCGUUGGAGGUAGCAGUGUGCCAGCUGAAAAAUUAGAUUUCCCAGCCGCCCCUCUGGAGAAGAGUGCCCCUGACCUUGUCUUCAGCUGGACUGGAGCACCACGAGCUCCAGGGGUAAAGGGAAGCGUCUAGAACCCGAUUCCUUCACCAGUGA